AGAACACUGGUGAGACCUCACUUGGAGUAUUGUACACAGUACUGGAGACCGUAUCUUCAGAAGGAUAUUGAUACCUUAGAGAGGGUUCAGAGAAGGGCUACUAAACUGGUUCAUGGAUUGCGGGAUAAAACUUACCAGGAAAGGUUAAAGGAUCUUAACAUGUAUAGCUUGGAGGAAAGACGAGACAGGGGGGUAUGAUAGAAACAUUUAAAUAUAUAAAGGGAAUCAACACAGUAAAGGAGGAGACUAUAUUUAAAAGAAGAAAAACUACCACAACAAGAGGACAUAGUCUUAAAUUAGAUGGACAAAGGUUUAAAAAUAAUAUCAGGAAGUAUUACUUUACUGAGAGGGUAGUGGAUGCAUGGAAUAGCCUUCCAGCUGAAGUGGUAGAAGUUAACACAGUAAAGGAGUUUAAGCAUGCGUGGGAUAGGCAUAAGGCUAUCCUAACUAUAAGAUAAGGCUAGG